UAUCAAUUCAAUGUUCUGAAGAAACAGCAAGGACAUCAGAGAUGGCUGACAAUGUUAGACCCUCCUUAUAUAUUGAAAACAACAGUUUGAAACAGACAGCUGGCACCAAGCCAAUGGUUAAAGAAACUGGGGAAACAGCCUCUCAGUUGCAAGGGUCAAUCCAGUGUUAUGAAGAAACAGCAAGGACAUCAUCAGAGAUGCAUGACAAUAAUAAAUCAUCGUCAUCUAUUGGAAACGCGACUUUA